GUCAGAUUAUUUUAAAGCACUUCGAAAUAUUGUCCCGUAACAGCUACUGCUCCUUUUGCAAGCCAAGUGACUGGGUGUGGGCAGCCCUGAAAAUAGAGCAUUCAUUUAUCCCCCAUCCCAUCCCAUCCCUGCUCCAGAACCCGCCGAGGUUUGCCUGGCUCCCUCUGCUCCCCUCCCCUCUGCUCCCUGCUGAUGGAUGUCGAUCCUGCUCUGGAAUGACACAGCUGGUGGCUUAAGGAGGCAUCACCAUCCCUGGAGAAGGAGGAGAAAUCACAGACUCCAAAAGAUGUCGGGACAGGGCUCUUGCACCUUGGUGACUGUGUCAACCAGAUUCAGUGGUGGGUACAAGCAGUGAGGACACCAGCUCCAGUCCCCGUCCCUCUGCUGUCCCCGGAACUGCUGUGGCAGGAUUCUCCAGGCUGGGUUAAAGACUCAGUGAAAUCUAUUUUGUAACAGACAGACGAGGAGCAACUUCCACAGAGACCUACUGCACCAACUCAUGAAGUCAGCAAGCCUGAAGGAAUCACAUCGCCUUGAAGCCACCGCAAGGACACGGAAAGUGGUUGAAAACAUAACUCAGCCUCCUCAGCGAGCACCUGGCUGUGCCCUCACCCAGAGGAGACUGUGGAAAGCCCACAGAAUGGAGAUACAGAGACGGACCCAAAGACAUAGUCAACGAGAAGCUGCUGAGGAACACGAGGGUCCCUGUACAUCCCCUGAGGACUGA
rnacentral:lncRNA from 1 species